rnacentral:rRNA from 1 species
AUGUGGCGCGAACUGCUUUCCGCGGCAGGCACCAAGCUGCUGUACUCCACCGCCUAUCACCUGCAGACGGACGGGCAGACGGAGCGCGUCAACCAGUGCCUGGAGAUGUAUCUCCGGUGCGCCGUCCACGACACCCCGCAUCGAUGGCGCAAGUGGCUGCCGGCAGCUGAGUUUUGGUACAACUCUUCCCACCACUCAUCUCUGAAGUGCUCCCCGUUCAAGGCGCUCUACGACACAGAACCCAACCUGGGCGGCCUUCCUCAACUCAGCUCCGCGUUGCCCGUCGACGCGUCCCCUGGUGACCUGGACUGGGCCGCGCACACCGACCUGUUGCGCGCGCAGCUCUCGCGCGCCCAGGCGCGUUUCAAGAAGCAGGCGGAUCGAAACCGUGCGGAGCACGCUUUCGAUGUGGGAGAGCAGGUCCUGCUCAAGCUCCAACCGUAUGCUCAAUCUUCCGUCGUCAACCGCCCCUGCCGCAAGCUCUCAUACAAGUUCUAUGGCCCGUUCUUGGUGACCGAGCGCAUUGGCUCCCUGGCAUACCGGCUGCAGUUGCCUUCGGACAACCGCGUCCAUCCGGUAUUCCACGUCUCCCAAUUGAAGCCUUUCACUCCUGAUUAUACUCCAGUCUUUGCGGAACUGCCCAGGGUACCGGACCUCGUCGCCGGCGAGUCUGAACCAAUUGCCAUCCUGGAUCGCCGCAUGAUGAAAAAGGGAGACGCUCCAGUCGUCCAAGUGCUUGUCCAGUGGGCCAACAUGCCACCGGCGGCCACCACCUGGGAGGAUUACGACAUCCUACAACAACGUUACCCGUCGGCUUGCAUCUGGGAGGAAGCUGCUUCACAAGGAGGGGACAAUGUCACGCCUGCUGAUGAUACAUCCGCAGCGGACUGA